UCUUGACCUCACACUUGGUCAAUAACCCAUACAUAGCAGAUCGAGUAAAGGCAACGGAUUACUGUUUGGUAGAAGUACUAAGUGUAGCACGAUAUUACAACCAGCAACAGGCAAGAACAGUUAUCUACAAUUAGGGGAUGAGUAACUAAAUAAUUAACUAAGUGCACUGAAGAACUAAAACAAAGAUUUCUUUUCAGGAUGGAGUGGGAGACAACUGAUGUGCAAGAGGUUAGUAAAAAGUCGUCGUCGGCAGCCGUUCGUCUCGGGAGACGAUGGUGUAGCGCUAUGUCGAUGCGGAGUAUCGUCUCGAGUGGCUAUAGAGUCCCACUCUGGAGUGGCAAUCUCUGUUGCAAAUAACGCAGACGAAGGAGGAUGAUGCUGCAAUUGAGGCUGCCCUGGUCUUCCUUCUGGUUCUCUUCAAGACCUGCUGGUCAUUUCUGGACACCAAUGAGGGUUCCCCUCCAGCUCUUCCGGAGGUGAUUACUUCUCUAGUGACAGUUAAAGUGACUCCGGAAAAAGUGGCUCAUAAGUUAUGUUGUGCUCUCUGCUUAUGCGAAUUCCAAGAGGGUGAGCAAACAACCCAACUGCCAUGCAGCCAUGGAUUCCAUCCUCAGUGCAUAACAACAUGGCUACAAAUGCACGCCACUUGUCCAGUGUGCAGAGACGAGCUGCCGCAUUGAGGAUGGCUUGUAAAUUGUAAAUUGUAAAUAAUGUUAGUACUGUAAAUAAUGUUAGAAACAACUGUAAAUCGUAAAUAAUGUUAGUAUUGUAAGUUUUGUUAGUAUUGUCACAGAAGAGAAAUACACCCCAAAACUAUAAGUAGGUUUAUGUGUAAUAUUCGCUCUUCUGUAUAUCCUUAUCGUAAAUAAGUUCCGCACUUAACUUAAAAUUGUAAACUUAUCGCAAUCUACAGGAAAUGUCAUAAGAUAACAAUGUAUGAAUCCUAAAUGUAGAAUAAUUACAAAUUCAUAAAUGUUGACAUAGAAAGGAACUUCUCUUCGACUCUUAAGAUUACUUAUAGUCCAGCAUUUCGUUUAAUAUCGGUAAUUUAUUCAUAUCACCUGUUCUCAGAUGCGAAGUAGCACAUUUUCAAUGGACACCUUUAUUUAUCUAUAUCUUGAGCAAUUUCCUGGAACUUAUCUUGAACAGAAGAUCUAAACGUUUAGCAAUUUCCUGUAUGGAUGUUAGUAUUGAUAAGACCUGUUUAUUUUGCUGUAAACCUUAAAGUUCACCUGCCGUUAUUAUCGCACCCUGAGCACAUGUAAGCAUGCACGUACUGUACAAUAUUUGAGUUACCUUCGACCUAUGUACUACGAGGUUUAAUCUACAAUAAAGAAGACAAGAGAGUUCCAGA